AUCCAGACUCCUACGGGAGGCAGCAGUGGGGAAUAUUGCACAAUGGGGGAAACCCUGAUGCAGCGACGCCGCGUGAGUGAAGAAGUAUUUCGGUAUGUAAAGCUCUAUCAGCAGGGAAGAAAAUGACGGUACCUGACUAAGAAGCCCCGGCUAACUACGUGCCAGCAGCCGCGGUAAUACGUAGGGGGCAAGCGUUAUCCGGAUUUACUGGGUGUAAAGGGAGCGUAGACGGCAUGGCAAGUCAGAUGUGAAAGCCCGGGGCUCAACCCCGGGACUGCAUUUGAAACUGUCAGGCUGGAGUGCAGGAGAGGUAAGUGGAAUUCCUAGUGUAGCGGUGAAAUGCGUAGAUAUUAGGAGGAACACCAGUGGCGAAGGCGGCCUGCUGGACGAUGACUGACGCUGAGGCUCGAAAGCGUGGGGAGCAAACAGGAUUAGAUACCCCGGUAAUC
rnacentral:rRNA from 1 species